rnacentral:rRNA from 1 species
GACGAACGCUGGCGGCGUGCCUAAUACAUGCAAGUAGAACGCUGAAGGAGGAGCUUGCUUCUCCGGAUGAGUUGCGAACGGGUGAGUAACGCGUAGGUAACCUGCCUGGUAGCGGGGGAUAACUAUUGGAAACGAUAGCUAAUACCGCAUAAGAGUAGAUGUUGCAUGACAUUUGCUUAAAAGGUGCAAUUGCAUCACUACCAGAUGGACCUGCGUUGUAUUAGCUAGUUGGUGGGGUAACGGCUCACCAAGGCGACGAUACAUAGCCGACCUGAGAGGGGGAUCGGCCACACUGGGACUGAGACACGGCCCAGACUCCUACGGGAGGCAGCAGUAGGGAAUCUUCGGCAAUGGACGGAAGUCUGACCGAGCAACGCCGCGUGAGUGAAGAAGGUUUUCGGAUCGUAAAGCUCUGUUGUAAGAGAAGAACGAGUGUGAGAGUGGAAAGUUCACACUGUGACGGUAUCUUACCAGAAAGGGACGGCUAACUACGUG